rnacentral:rRNA from 1 species
CGCGUUAAGUCGACCGCCUGGGGAGUACGGCCGCAAGGUUAAAACUCAAAUGAAUUGACGGGGGCCCGCACAAGCGGUGGAGCAUGUGGUUUAAUUCGAUGCAACGCGAAGAACCUUACCUGGUCUUGACAUCCACGGAAGUUUUCAGAGAUGAGAAUGUGCCUUCGGGAACCGUGAGACAGGUGCUGCAUGGCUGUCGUCAGCUCGUGUUGUGAAAUGUUGGGUUAAGUCCCGCAACGAGCGCAACCCUUAUCCUUUGUUGCCAGCGGUCCGGCCGGGAACUCAAAGGAGACUGCCAGUGAUAAACUGGAGGAAGGUGGGGAUGACGUCAAGUCAUCAUGGCCCUUACGACCAGGGCUACACACGUGCUACAAUGGCGCAUACAAAGAGAAGCGACCUCGCGAGAGCAAGCGGACCUCAUAAAGUGCGUCGUAGUCCGGAUUGGAGUCUGCAACUCGACUCCAUGAAGUCGGAAUCGCUAGUAAUCGUGGAUCAGAAUGCCACGGUGAAUACGUUCCCGGGCCUUGUACACACCGCCCGUCACACCAUGGGAGUGGGUUGCAAAAGAAGUAGGUAGCUUAACCUUCGGGAGGGCGCUUACCACUUUGUGAUUCAUGACUGGGGUGAAGUCGUAACAAGGUAACCGUAGGGGAACCUGCGGUUGGAUCAC